rnacentral:rRNA from 1 species
CCUACGGGAGGCUGCAGUGGGGAAUAUUGGGCAAUGGGCGAAAGCCUGACCCAGCAACGCCGCGUGAAGGAAGAAGGCUUUCGGGUUGUAAACUUCUUUUGACAGGGAAGAGCAGAAGACGGUACCUGUCGAAUAAGCCACGGCUAACUACGUGCCAGCAGCCGCGGUAAUACGUAGGUGGCAAGCGUGUUCCGGAUUUACUGGGGGUAAAGGGCGUGUAGCCGGGCUGACAAGUCAGAUGUGAAGUCCGGGGGCUCAACCCCCGAACUGCAUUUGAAACUGUUGGUCUUGAGUAUCGGAGAGGCAGGCGGAAUUCCUAGUGUAGCGGUGAAAUGCGUAGAUAUUAGGAGGAACACCAGUGGCGAAGGCGGCCUGCUGGACGACAACUGACGGUGAGGCGCGAAAGCGUGGGGAGCAAACAGGAUUAGAUACCCCUGUAGUC